rnacentral:lncRNA from 1 species
UGAAAAUUAAAUAAAUUAAAAUUAAAUAAAAUUUAAAAUUCAGUUCCUUGGUCACACUAGCUACAUUUAAGUGCCCAUUAACCACACUGACUAGUGAAUAUCAUAUUGGAUAGCACAGGGCAUAGAGAAUUUCCAUUAGCACAGGAAGAGCUAUUGGACAGCACUAUACUAGCAUAUAUGAAGUCUCCAAAUGUGAUACAUAACAGGAGUUUUAACAUUAUAAACAAACACAAUGCGAAAUUUGGAAAGAAAUGAAUCACUACCCAGAAAAUAAAUAGUUAAUAGAAUAAUACAGCAAUUUGAAUUGUCCUUUGAUGAAAAUUUUGGUCUCUGUAUGGCAAACUGAUAUGUUUAGCCCAUAUAAGUUACAUUUGAUAGUUACAAUAGAAUAUAUAAAAAUGUUUAUUAAUACAGCAGAAUGUUGUAUACCAACAUAUUUGAAAACUUUUCAGAUGCAAUUAUUCAAAGACAUCUUAUGUGAAACUUAAUAUAGACCUGGUGAGUUUGCAAUAUUGAUAGAGGGCCUCUUCCUGCUCACAUGGUGGGCUUCCAGGACUGCUGGUAUCCAGGGUAGCCCUAAGUCAUCAGCCCUAAGCAAAAUCUGAGGUAUCAAAAAUAAAUAAAUACAUGAAUAAGUAAAUAAAUACCCUUACCAGAGUAGGAGAGAGUAAUUUAAAAACUUGAAUAUUAAGUCUGGGUGUGGUGGCUCACGCCUGUAAUCCUAGCACUCCGUGAGGCCAAGGCAGGCGGAUCAUGAGGUCAGGAGUUUGAGGCCAGCCUUUCCAACAUAGUGAAACCCCGUCUCUACUAAAAAUACAAAUCAUUAGCUGGGCAUGGUGGCAGGUGCCUGUAAUCGCAGCUACUUGGGAGACUGAGCAGGAGAAUCGCUUGAACCCAAGAGGCAGAGGUUGCAGUGAGCUGAGAUCAUGCCACUGCACUGCAGCUCAGGCAACAGUGUGAGACUCUGUCUCAAAAAAGAAUAUUAAGGAUCAGAACUAAACCUAAGUUAGCAGUGAGGCCCCUCCCUAUUCAAAUAAUAUCAAAAUACUUUUUUAUUAAUAACAACCUGAACAUUUACAUUUUAUCUGUUAACCAGCACUGCUAAAUAGAAAACAACAUUCUGGGAAAAUAAAAUUGGUAAUUCUGUCAUGACUAAGAACAGGAUUAAAUUUUAGAAGGUAACUCAUGCUUUUUACUCUUAUGUACCAGAGGUUAAAGAUGACUACAAGGGCAUUGUUAAUAUAUUUCCAAUGAUAAGAAUACCAAAACAAUUAAAAAUGCCUUCCUUUCAGGAUAACAAAGGAAUUUUUGUAACAUUCGGUACCAUAUGAUAGAAAAAUAGCCACCAUGGAAAUGAAGAUUACUUAACUGGCUUAUAGAAAAUUAAUUACUUCAUUUUGAUAUGCAUUUGUCAUGCAUAAUUUACUAGAAAGUGAUAGUUGUGUGAAAUAAUGUGUAAAAAUUGCUUUACAUUUAUCAAUGUAAGUGAUUGGUUCUUAAAUUCUUUCUAAUUGAAAAAAUAUUACUAAAGAUCAGAACUGAAGUAUUUUGGGGGCAAAAACUUAAAAAUAUUAAAUAGGUGCAUCAUGUCAUCGUGCUCUUGUUUAAAAGCUACAAAAUUCCUUUUGAACAACCAACAUAACACCAAGAAGUUUGGCAGGAAUCAUUAUGGGAUGUUGAUUUCUUAUGCUGUUUUUGUUUUGGUUUUCCUGAUUCAUUCUCUGUCUAACACCAGUUGAAUUAGAUAAUUUGAAUCAGAUCAGCUAUGAUGAUGCCAACAACAUUUUAAGCUUUGGUUUCUCAUGUCCUAAAAUAGCAAUAUAAAACACAAAGAAAUGAUGAGCUUUUUUUUUCAUAUGUUUGUUGGCCACAUAAAUGUCUUCUUCUUAAAAAUGUCUGUUCUUAUCCUUCGUCCACUUUUAGAUGUUUUUUUUUUUCUUUUUUUUUCUUUUACAUUUGUUUAAGUUCCUUGUAGAUUCUGGAUAUUAAACCUUUGUCAGAUGGGUAGAUUGCAAAAAUUUUCUCCCAUUCUGUAGGUUGCCUGUUCACUCUGAUGGUAGUUUCUUUUGCUGUGCAGAAGCUCUUUAGUUUAAUUGGAUCCCGUUUGUCUGUUUUGGAUUUUGUUGCCAUUGCUUUUGGUGUUUUAGUCAUGAAGUCUUUACCCAUGCCUAUGUCCUGAAUGGCAUGGCCUAGGUUUUCUUCUAGGGUUUUUAUGGUUUGGGGUUUUACAUUUAAGUAUUUAAUCCAUCUUGAGUAAUAUCAUUUGAGAAAUACCAUUGAGAAAUACCAUUUGACCCAGCAAUCCCGUUACUGGGUAUAUACCCAAAGGAAUAUAAAUUCUUCUAUAGAGACACAUACCCAUGUAUGUUUAUUGAAGCACUAUUUACAAUAGCAAAAUCAUGGAACAACUCAAAUGCCCAUCAAUGAAAGACUGGAUAAAGAAAAUAUGACACGUAUACACCAUAGAAUACUAUGCAGCCAUAAAAAAGAAUGAGUUCAUGUCUUUGCAGGGACAUGGAUGAAGCUGGAAACCAUCAUCUUCAGCAAACUAACAUAGGAACAGAAAACCAAACACAGCAUGUUCUCACUCAUAAGUGGGAGUUGAACAGUGAGACCACAUGGACACAGGGAGGGAAACAUCACACACAGUGGCCUGUCGGGGAUGGGGGGCAAGGGGAGGGAGAGCAUUAGGACAAAUACUUAAUGCAUGCGAGGCUUAAACCUUAGAUGACGUCUUCUAAACUUCUCUUCUGAAACUUGAUCCUGUUCUUAGUCAUGACAGCAUUAACAAUUUUAUCUGUCUCUUUCUGGUUGAUUGGAACAGGAAACCACCAUGGCACAUGUACACCAAUGUAACAAACCUUCACAUUCUGCACAUGUAUCCCGGAACUUAAAGUGAAAUAAAACUAAACUAAACUAAACUAAACUAAACUAAAAUAAAAUAAAAUCUUUUUGGGAAAAAAACGUUAAGUACUAAGUCUCAGUGACUAGUGGGACAACAGAAAUGGGGCAAGUUCUAAAGAAAUGUAAGACACGCACUCUUUAUUCUUAAGGACAAUAUAGUUAAGGAGAACACAAUUAUCAAGUAUUUUUAACCCCACUUAAAGGUGUGAGCAAAUAAAAUAAAAUAAAAUAUUUUAUUUUAUUUUACACACAGCAGCAACGUCAAGGCACUAUAUAAAUAAUUGGCCGUGAAAAAGACCCUUUUAGAAACAACAACUCUCCUCUUGUGUGGCCAGUCCGCUGGAUUUCUAUGAUUAGAAAUAUAGUAAGAUAUGUCUAUGCCCUUUUAUUCAUCUUUAACCUUUUGGUACUUAGAAGUGAAAAACACAAGUUGGCUUCUAAAACUUGAUCUUGUUCUUAGUCAUGACAGCAUUAACAAUUUUAUCUGUCUCUUUCUGGUGAGUGUAUUAGAAGGCGUUAGAGACUUAUGCCACUGACUUUACAGCAUUUGCUUUGGGUUCUAUCCUGAAGCAGCAAGGAUGCCUACAAUAUGAAGUACAUAAAGCAUUAACACAUUUAAAAUAGAUCCAUUAGCAAACUAGCACUUCAUUACUCUAAACUCCAGUUUCAUUAGUCAUAGUUCUGUUCAUUAACUGGGUUGAACAGAUUGCUACCUGAUUUCUAAGGUGUUAAAAAGCAUUUUAAAAAAUGGGAGUCGAAGGAAACCUACUGACAACCGAAUAUUUUCAAAAAAUACAAAGUUAACAUCCUUUCUUAUCAUACUAGAGAAAAAUUACUAAAAUGUUUCAGGAUAUCUCCUUUUAAUUAUAGCCUAGAAGCAAUCUCUAAAUAGCCAAAUUUUCUUUUGUCCCCACCAAGCGCCAAGUUGUAUUAUUUUUUAAUCCAGAGUUUAAAAUGUACUUUUGUUUACUAUAUUGCUUCCUUUUUAAACAGGAAAUGCAGCUGUUCAUGAUUAAGAGUCACCUACUUGGAAACCUAAAUCACAUUAAAUAGUGUUCAUCACCAAAAAUAGUUAGAUGAGCUUUGAAACUUGUAAAACUAUUGAAAUUAAUGUUCAGUCAUUCUUCCCAAAAAAAGGAAAACAGAUUUGAAAGUUUCGGUAGUAAAUGUUAAUAUUCUGUAGGAACUGGGUAGUCUUACUAAAAUAGCCAUGUUUGUUAGGAGAUAGUAUCUCACAAUGUUUGACAAUUGACAAGGUUUGUUUCUCCUAAUAAGAAAAGAUUACUGGCUUGUACUCCCCUUGGGUAAAAUGUUAUAUAGAACUCUAGAAGACAAAGGAAUCCAGAAAAAAAAGGAUAAAGGAUAAAAAGGAUAAAGCUGAAGAGACAAAAGUAAAGGCACAUAUUGUCAUUUGCUGGAGAUAUCAAAUAAACAAGGAAACAGUAUAACCAUCUGCCCUUCCCUCCUCAAUACAGCAAAUCACUUUUGAAGGACUCCCAGUUUUCAUGUGUUUUGCUCAUCUCUUGGUAGGAGACACAAUUUGCUAUGGAUCCUGAGCAUCCUUGUGCUUUCUGGCUGGUUAUGCCAAGAAUACAAGGCCCUAAUUACUCUUUACUUGGAUGAUUUAUCAGGACUGCACUUGCAGCUAGUAACAUAAAGAAUGGAUAGCAUCUAUCCCCAAAGUAAGAGCAGGUUUGCUUCCACUUACUUUACAUUCCAUGAGCUCACUGUUCCUACCCUGCAAUAUAACCCACUUAGUGUACAGGCAUCUAACCUGGACACACUUUCAUUGCCCUGUGGGAUGUAGGGCAAGCCAAUAUGAAGGCCUGGCUUUUAAUUUAUGGUGUGUAAUAGAGUCCUUGUUUUUGACCCAAGAGUUAUGUCUUCUGCCAGCAUCCAUGACACAAUAAUAGACUAGCUUAUUAACUUAAAGUAUAUUAAAAUCUCAGAUAUGCAUAGUUCUUUACAUUUUAUAUUCUCAUAAAACUGCUUAUAGCGGCACUAUUCACAAUAGCAGAGACUUGGAUCCAACCUAAAUGUCCAACAACAAUAGACUGGAUGAAGAAAAUGUGGCACAUAUACACCAUGGAAUACUAUGCAGCCAUAAAAAAUGGUGAGUUCAUGUCCUUUGUAGGGACAUGGAUGAAACUGGAAACCAUCAUUCUCAGCAAACUAUCGCAAGGACAAAAAACCAAACACCGCAUGUUCUCACUCAUAGGUGGGAAUUGAACAAUGAGAACACAUGGACACAGGAAGGGGAACAUCACACACCGGGGACUGUUGUGGGGUGGGGGGAGGGGGGGGAUAGCAUUAAGAGAUAUACUUAAUGCUAAAUGACGAGUUAAUGGGUGCAGCACACCAACAUGGCAAAUGUAUGCAUAUGUAACAAACCUGCACGUUGUGCACAUGUACCCUAAAACUUAAAGUAUAAUAAUAAUAAAAUUAAAAAAAUAAAAUAAGGAUAAAACACUGAUUUUUACAAAUAUAAUACAAAAUUAUUAACCCCAAUUUUUUUCAUUUUUCUUCAGUACAUGUUUUAACAGGUAAAAUCCCAAAUUGUGUUUGUGUUACUAUUGUAAACUUAACGAAAUUAUUUAAAAAGUCAUGAGAAUUGUAUUUUGCCAUUAAUGAUAUUAGGCCUUUAGUAAAGCAACUAGAGAGUAAAUACUAGACAGUGCCAGAUAACUGAGUUUACAUUGUAGCCAAGACACUUCCUCGUGGGCUGUGAUCUCCUGAAAUUAUUUCUCAUUUUCCUAAUCUGUUAAGUAGGUGUAAAGAUACAGAACAUGCCAUAUAGGCUUGAUUUUGGUUUUUAACAAAGUAACUGUGUAUGUAAGUGUGUCACAUACUGGCUUUUACUGGUCUCCCAAUGCAUGCUUGUUAUAUAUGUUUAUGAAUGGUGUUCACUUGAAUUGUAUAUUAUUAAUUUUAUUUUUAAAUAUAUACAACUUCCACGUAUGUCUCUUGAGGUUUGUUA